ACUACAGUAUUGUUUGUACUAACAAAGAUUGGAUUUAAAAAAACAAAACAAAACAGAACUAAUGUCCCCCAGUAGGAGACUAGUUAAAUACAUUAUGGCACAUCCAUGCUACAGAAAACUAGGCGGCCUUGAAAAGGUCAAAAGGUCCUGCAGCGACAGGGAUCAGCUCACCCUCGAGUACCCUCACCCUGCGAUGAGCAGCCAAGAGGGAAAAGUCACAGAAACUCCAGGAAGCUUAUCGAAUGCCGAAGCAGCGCCCCGCUACCCGACAGUCCUAAACCGGCGGGUGGGGGAAAGCCGGAAGCAGACCCUCCGCCACUAGAGACUGGACUCUCUUCCACCCACCGCAUCACCAUAGCAACCGUAGACUACCGGGCUCUGACCGCAGGAAAACGAGGACCACAGUGAAAGGAUACGGAGCAAAAUCAGCAAAGGGAAAAGGUGUGUGGGACAAAGUCCGGAAGAAACCAGACCCAAGCUUCUGCGUCCUCUCCCCGUGGAGUCAUGCAGGACGCACUCAAUUUUUCCAACAGAUCAAAAAAAAAAAAGAAGAAGAAGUACCUACCCUAUUGCCCAGCAUAGUCCUUGUCACUGUGGAUGCAACGAAGAUGAAGAUGGAGGUGGUCUCUGCCUAUGGCACUUGUGCAGGGCAGAGUCAAAUAAAGGGCCAGUUAUGAUGCAUUCUGUGGGUAUUAUAGAAUUUCAGAGUCCUGGGAGCACUUGGAUGGGUCCUAAUUCAGACUUGGGGAAGUCAGCGAGGGCUUCCCGCAGGAACUGAAGGGACCUGGAGUGACCGGGCUUCGGAUAUAAGGAUGGGAACAGAUGGAUCGGGGAAGAUGAGAAGUAAGGCCAGAGGGGUAGGCAGACACCAGACCCUGGAAGGCAAGGUAAGAGGUUUGGAUUUAUCCCAAGAUGGGUGGAAAGGUUUUAAGUGAUGGGAUGAUAGCUUCAGAUAUCCCUUCUAAAGAAGACUCAGCUUUGGUGAGGAGGGUGCACAGGAGGAGUAGGAACUAGAAACAGAGCAAUCAGUUAGGGGACUAUGGCGGAAAUCCACUGCAACAAGAAUAAAAGCCUAAACUCAAA